rnacentral:lncRNA from 10 species
UAUUUUGCAAAAUUAGUACAAUCAUACAACCUGGAUAUUGACAAUGAUACAGCCAAGCUACAGAACAUUUCUAUCACCCCAUGGAUACAUCAUGUAUCCUUGGAUAACUACACCUACCUCACUCCCCAACCCUUAUACAUGACAACCACUAAGCUGUUCAUUUCUAUAAUUUAUCAUUUUAAGAAUGUUAUAAAUGGAAUCAUACAGUAUAUAAACUUUAGUAUUGGCUUUUUUCACUCAGAACAAUUAUUUUAAUUUUCUUACUAGUAGAUAUUAUUUUCCUGCUUGAGGAAUUAUGAUUUAUUUUUCUAAGGACAAGACAAUAUGGAUGAUCAGGGUUUUUUUGUUUGUUUUUUUGAGAUGGAGUUUUGCUCUUGUUGCCCAGGCUGGAGUGCAAUGGAGUGAUCUCGGCUCACCGCAACCUCUGCCUCCCGGGUUCAAGCGAUUCUCCUGCCUCAGCCUCCCAAGUAGCUGGGAUUACAGGCAUGCGCCACCAUGCCCACCUAAUUUUAUAUUCUUAGUAGGGAUGGGGUUUCUCCAUGUUGGUCAGGCUGGCCUUGAAUUCCUGACCUCAGGUGAUCCGCCCACCUCGGCCUCUCAAAGUGCUGGAUUAUAGGUUUGAGCCACUGUGUCUGGCCUGGAUGAUCAGGUUUUAUUCUUUAUUAGUUGAGAUAAUUAUAUUUGUAAUUGAAUUAUGAUUAUUGAACUGCAUUCUUUUUGGUUGUUGAUUUCUCAUUUUCUCAAAGCAGAUGCCCAAAAUCUGUGGAGGUGGUUGUCAUUGCAAAGAAGUACCACAGGGCUUAAAAAGGCAAAGUUCACCCCAAUGAACUUCUUAGUAUUCAAAAACAGGUUCAGUUUUUGAAAAAUAACCUAGACUGAAGGAAACAAUCAUAUCAAGCCCACAGGAAAAAAUGAAGCACAGGGUCAAAAUGAUCGUCUCUUUAGUUGCUUUCAUCCCAGGGCUUUUUUUUCUUGGAGAUGGAGUUUCACUCCUGUUACCCAGGCUGGAGUGCAAUGGUGCGAUCUCGGCUCACUGCAACCUUUGCCUCCCGGGUUCAAGUGAUUAUCCUGCCUCAGCCUCCCGAGUAGCUGGGAUACAGGCAUGCACCACCACGCCCAGCUAAUUUUGUAUUUUUAGUAGAGAUGGGGUUUCUCCAUGUUGGUCAGGUUGGUCUCGAACUCUCAACCUCAGGUGAUCCGCCUGCCUCAGCCUCCCAAAGUGCUGGGAUUACAGGCCUGAACCACCGCGCCCGGCCCCAGGGUUCAUUUUGAAUUAGGGGCCCGACCUGUGAAGGUGCUGUAUUUGCUCGUGAUGUCUGUAGAGGGGAUGCAUCCUAUACCCACUCGUCCAGCACAUAAAACCCAGGAGGGGAAACGUCAUGAAUGUGAAAUGCCAUGAACGUGAGAAAGAAUCACCUAAUAAAAUUAUCCGUUAGCAAAACAGAGCAAGAUUUCACAAUGUAUCUGGAUACAGUCUCAUUCUUGAGGGCUGUAAUUGAGAUAAAAUUAAGUUGGAAAAUAUGAGUAAAUUAAAUUAAGAAUUCAAACAAAAAGGAGUAAAGGGCACACAAUGGUUUUCUGGUUUUGAGCACUGAUCAAUAGGGGUUACAAAGGCCAAUGAUGAUGGCAUAAAGAAUGCUUAAGUGGCUUGUCUAACAGAUGGAAAGGCCACGUGACACUGUGUAGCUAUUUGUCUUAAAAAUAACAUAAUGUAUGAGAGUUCUCAAGACCAAAGCUUAAGAAUCCUUGGGGAUUCCUAUAAUACAAGCCACUAACAUGUGGACCAAUGAGAAGUGGGUUAUUAGUAGGCAUAUGGGCCUCUGCUUGAGACUCACAAUGAAAAUAUGAGCAUAGCUCACAAAGAGAAUGGCAUUCCCCAUGACAUCAAGUCUAGCUUAGAAAAGAAAAGCGGGCAGGUGCAGUGGCUUAGUUCUGUAAUCCCAGCACUUUGGAAGGCUGAGGUGGGCAGAUCACUUCAGCUUGGGCUCAGGAGUUCAAGUCCAGCUGGACAACAUAGUGAAAACCCCAUCUCUACAAAAAUUAGCUGGGUGUGGUGACUUGUCCCUGUAGUCCCAGCUACUCAGGAGGCUGAGGUGGGAGAAUGGCUGGAGCCUAGGAGGUGAAAGUUGCAGUAAGCAGAGACUGCACCACGGUACUCCAGCCUGGGCAACAGACACACACCUUGUCUCAAAAAAUAAAUACAAUAAAUAAAAUAAAAUAAAACAAUUGCCAGGAUGCCAUGUGUUGAAAUCAAUCCAACACUUUAUAAGCUGCGUAACUGCAGGAUCAACUUCUAUAACCUGUUUUUUAAAAUUCUGCAAUUUAGUGAUUAUUACCUGUGAGGACUAAACUCCAGUUUUUUAUCCUGCCUAAAUUCCUAUCUAAGGGGUUUGGAGAGUCAUGCCCUGAAAAUCAUAAAUUCUCAUCAGAUGGGUUUUAUUUAACCCUAUAGAUUGUGACUUACUUUCCAAACUGACUCUGCUGUAUGGUUAACUUCUAGGUUUUUAUUUGGUGGAGAAGAUUGCUCUUGUCACUUUGGAGUCUCAUGCAUUUGAGUUCAAUUGGAACUGAGCUAAGUGUGUAUGUUACAAUGGCAUUUGUAUUAUUUAGCAGCAUUUGCAGCCCACCUCCAUUUCCUAAAUCCAUUUGUCACACUCUUAGACUGGUCUGUGUUCUUGCAUCUGGGAAAGGAGAUAGCAGAAAGUAGCAAAAUGGGUACUGGGUUUUUUGUUUGUUUGUUUGUUUGUUUUUUGUAGCUCUUGAGUUUCAGAAGCAGAACCUAUUACAGCAAUGAAGGGGCCACAAAGUCAGUACUCUAAGGGAAAACAAUCAUACAACUCAAUCUUUAUGCCAUUUGGCUUGAGUUUUUUUGUUUUUUUUUUUCCAGAUAGGGUCUGGCUCUGUCACCCAGGCUGGAGAGCAGUGGCACAAUCUCAGCUUUCUGCAGCCUCUACCUCCUGGGCACAAGCGAUCCUGCCACCUCAGCCUCCAGAGUAGCUAGGACUACAGGUGGGCACUACCAUGCCUGGCUAAUUUUUGUAGAGACAGGGUCUUGCCAGUCUGGUCUCUAACUCCUGAGCUCAAGCAAUCCGCCUGCCUCCACUUCCCAAAGUACUGGGUUACAGGUAUAAGCCACCGUGUUUGGCUUCAUUCUGCUUGAGUCUAAGUGUCUAAGUGUUUGCAUCAAGUGUCUUAGAUACAUAAAUGCCACCACUUAAAAAUCUUAAUUAUUUUUUCCUGCUUUUCCUAGUAACUGUCCUGUCUAGGGGACUACCUUUUUUAUUAGCUUUUUCAAAGAAUAAUAAGGUGUUGGUUUUACUGAUUCUCUGCAUUAUCUUUUUGUUAUUUUCUAUUAACUUUCCUGUCUAGGGGACUAUCUUUUUUAUUAGCUUUUUCAAAGAAUAAGGUGUUGGCCAGGAUGGUCUCCAUCUCUUGACCUCGUGAUCCACCCGCCUCAGCCUCCCAAAGUGCUGGGAUUACAGGCGUGAGCCACUGCGUCUGGCCUACCCCAACUUUUUAAGUUUCCUUUGCCAGAUGGAAGGAUUCCCUCUGCAAGUGUUAACUGCUUUCAGCUUCUCUCACUCAUUUAAAAUCCAAAUCCCUGCCUGGGGAAAGUGAUGACACAAGCUGAUGUUUCAGGGACAAAGAAGCUUCAAUUGCACUAUGAGUUUCUUUUCUCAAUAAACAAUGUAAAGACCAUUUCAAGAAACACUUGCGGUGUGUGCGCUGGAUAGCACUUUUCCCUGUCUACUUCACCAGAGACACUGAAGCACACAUCAUUUCUCUUUCAGUUACUUCUGGGGGUCACGGUUAUUAUUUUUCCCAGAAAUAUUUCUCACAACAGUCCACUUCAAUGUUGGGAGUAGUAUCACUUUAAGUUAGAAAAAUAAGCAUGAAGGCUGCAAGUCUUGUUCUACCUACACAACUCUAUAUGAAUCUCAGGAGGAAAAAACAAACUUAAAGCUGUACCUUUUCCCUUCCCUGUUUCAUCCACAUCAUACCUCCUUCUUAUCCUCUUCUCACAAUGAAAGCCACUUAAAACUCUGGCAUCUACUCUGUUGGUAGAGCAGACAGACAUAAACUAGGACAAACUUUAUAAUGGUGGGUAAAUUAGAGCAACUAUUUUUAUACCAUCUCCAUCCCACUCUAAUUCAACAAAUAAGACCAAGAGGGAAGAAUUGGAACCAAAUGUGGAUUUCACUAGGAAUUAUAAAUGUAAAAUCUUCCCUAAUUUUGAGGGGGUCACUCACACAAAAAAACCAUAGAUGGUUUUGCUGCUAAUGAAUUUCAGCAGGGCCUCAAACAUGGUCAGUUCAAACUAUUAGCCCCAUUUAUGGAAUGUGGUGCAGAGGUUCCAAAAGGAUGCAAUGUCCACAGCGGAGCAUAGACAAUAUUCCUUCUGUUCCUCUCUGCCUCGGCAUCCAAAAUUGCUGGAAUUAUAGAGAUGGUCCAGUGGUUAUCUCUACCUCCAUGUCUAAGUAUCACAUUAUUAACCACUUCAUUCUAAUCCAAGUGUAGAGGAAAUGCUGUUUCUCUCAGUACAGUGGAGACGGAAAUGGAGUUUUUCAGAACAAAUGUUUAUUUAAUAAUUAAGGGCAAACAAAAACAUUAAAGCAUAGGAAUACAUCAACUGAAUACAAGUUGUCUUGUUUGGUCUGAAAUCUUGAAAAAGUUAAUCUAACUACUUACCUGAGGUAGAUUUAGGUUGGCACUGCUUCAAGGGAACCUCCGU